GCUUAUAUAUAUGUGGGUACAUGUGUAUGUAUAUACCUUUCUGCUUGUCUGUGUGUAUAUAUAUUUGUGCACGUAUAUAUGCGUGUGUCUAUGUGUCAUGCAUGUGUAUGUAUGUGUGUAUGCAUGUGUAUGCAUGUGUAUGUGGGGAGGGCAAGGAGGAGACUUGGAGGGAGAGAGUAACCUAGCAGCCAUUUCUCUCUGGACUUACCUGUGGAGGGAGGGAAGCUAAGUGGAACUAUGCCAGGUCAUCAGGCUAAGUUAACCGCAAAGCCUCCUCCUUUGUUCAGCUCACCACUCUACGAAGUGUUGGCCACUUAUGGUGCUGUGCUGUUUGGCCACUGUAAGAGCAGAGAGGAAGUCCUUACAGAGCCCCGGUUAUAAUGUGAGUCCCUACAUGCAUUUGCAGCAAGUUCUCAAGUCCAAGGCCCUCAGUGUAUCAGAGAUGGGCACUGCAUGGGUGAGGUGGGCAAUGUGACUGGACCUUCAGGGGCUCUAAUGUAACAGAACUCUGAGGUCAGAGUAACUUUGUAUGCAGACAUGGAUAUGUCCUAGUCAGUGAAGUCACUGUGGUGACUUGAAAGAAAAUAGCCCUAUAGACUCACAGACUGGCACUAUUAGGUCUGGCCUUGUGGGAGCAGGCUUGAAGGUCUCAGAAGCCCAAGCCAGGCUUAGUAGUUCACGGUCUCUUCUUGCUGCCUGCCAAUCCAGAUGCAGAGCUCUCAGCUUCCUGACCAGCACCGUGCCUGCCAUCAUGCUUCCCACCAUGAUGGCAAUGGACUAAACCUCUGAAUUGUAAGCUAGUCCCAAACAAAUGUUUGAUUUUGUAAGAGUUGUGGUGGUGAUGGUGUCUCUUCACAGCAACAGAACAUUGACUAAGACAUCACCAAAUAUCUUGUAGCCCUCUGUCUUGUGGGGUUAAACAUCUAGAUAGACCUUAGGGAGGGAGGAAGCAAAUCUGAGUCCUUCAUGGUAUAGAAGCAGAGAGCUCCAUUUCUGACUCCCGAGUAGCUCUGUGCACUCUUCAGAUAAGGCCAGAGUGGGGCUUGGGGCUUGCAUUUGAAGAUGGGAAGUGUGUCUGGAUAUUGACUCUGGGUAGAGGGGACAUCAGUUAAUUGACAAUUUUCAUGAUCUUACCAAUAGGCUCACUAUAUGAACAUUUUGGUGAGUGACCACUUUCCAGCGCAUUACAAAACUGUCACCCCAGUGAGCCUUUGGAGCCAUGUUACCCAAGACAACUGCUGUGACAAGACAGCAGUUGUGACUAGCAGUGGGUUUUGCUCAUAACAAAGGUGUUGAGCAGAACCAUCUUUGCUAGUGGGAAUACAUGGCACCCACAAGUGAGGAAGGGAUACAGAGAGGACAUUACAGGGUGGGCCUGGUUUCCAAACUUCUUAGAGGAGCCUACAUGCAUGGAACUCUGAACAUAGUUGGAUUUUAAUACAGAAUAGAAGUUCUUGGGUCAGAGAGACAGGAGAGUAGGCCACAGUGGCCAAGCUGGUGACUGAGCCCAUGUCCUGCCCUUCUCAGUGUGGGUCAGGCCCCACCCUCAUUCAGGGAGGCAGGUGAGAAGCUGCUGUAAGACCAGCGGGUAGGUGCACAGCCACGGGAAGCCAGAGACAGCAACACACGGGCCCGGGAAGUGGCCUGAGUGCUUCCUGGGUGCAGCAGGAGGCAGGCACUUCCAUGAGGCUCACCUUCACUUCAGAGACCUGCUCAGAAACUGGCUAGAUCCUUGGGCAGCCACCAAAAUAGGAGCCAGGGAAGCCAUGAGAGCCCAUAGCGACUCAAGUCCUCUCCAGGACUGUUCUGUCCUACAAAUGUCACCUUAAAAGUCUGUGUCUCUAAGGGGCAUUGGAAUUUCUUCCCAUUAGCAAAACUUGGAGGAAAUUAGAAAGGAAAAUUGGAAUUCAAGUAUUUUUUGGUUUACAUAAUUAAAGUCGUCAGGUACCCAUUAGUCAAGAUUUAAGCCUGGUUCUGACUACUGGACUGCCAAAGUUCCCAUGCGCCCUGUGAUUUUGGUCAAGGGUCUUGAUCAAAUGCUUACAGCCUCUUUGGAAAUUUCUGACAAAUGACCCAAACGAACAGAACUUAUGUGAGACUUACCCUCCCUCCCUUAGCCAGGACUACACAUGGAGGACUUUCUUUGGGGGUGCCUUUGAGGAAGGUUGUCUGAAGAAGAGGGGUUUCCAGCUCAGAGCAACAGGGCAGGUGUCAGCUGACUGAACAUGCAUCCUAUGUGACUGAGGGAGACAAGAAACUAUGGUGGGAUGUGAGGCUCCAGAGGCUCACAGGGUCAGAAUUUCCUGAGAAACAGUUAGAGUGGUCUCCGUAUACACAGUGUUAUUGAACGAAAGGCUUGGAGCCUCUAGGGAGCAUCUCGGCCUCCGCAAUGAUGUGGGGGUGUUAAACUGACCAGUGUCCUUUGGCCUGUGCCUGUUGGGUCGGUCCUCAAGAGGAUCUAGCUGAAGAGUAGCAGGGGGAAGAGGUGGGGAUGCUGGUGUCCCUGUCAUGACAGGGCUUGGGGUCUGGACUCGGGACCUGUGAUCACCAGGUGGUCUGUCAACUACAUGUCCUCUUGGGGAGCACUAGACACUUGACACUUGAACAGAGAGAGACAUACAAGCUGUCCCGAGCUGAGUCUCCUUCAGUGGGCAGAGUCAAGGCUCUGGAGAAGCUCUGCUUUGUUACACAGAGGGACUGGGAGGAGGAUGUGACAGGUGGAGUCCCAGCACUCUGACAGGAGGAAGGGGGACUCCCUCUUGACCUAAGUGGGAUAUCUGGGAAGGAGGGGUGGCCGACUAUCUGUUCCAUGGUUCCUUCACGUGUCUUAGUGGCAUAGGGUUAAUAAAGGUCAGCCUUCUUGACAGCCUCAGAGUGGGGUCCUAAAGAAGACGUCCAGGCUCGGCCUGACUGAGCAUCAGUUUGCACUUGGGUUCAAAUGUAAAAGCUGUCUGAGGAGCUCCAGGUCCCAGCAAAGGUGGCAGGACAGAUGUCUGAGCACUCUGUGCGUCCUGCUUUGAUUAACCUUUAUACUGUUCAAACUCACUAUUUUUUUUUUCUCUUUUGAUGUAUAAUUUGCUGACAACCCUAACCUGUGUGUUUUUCAACUCAAACACCAUAGUUUUUAUUUCUGGAAGUUCUUAUUUUAAAAUCAUCUUGUGCGACUCUCCAGACCUUUUGCACAUAUGCAUGGUGCUACCUUGUCUGACCACUCUGAAGUCCGAGUCAGUCGGUGCUGGCUUGGUUUUCCUCCUUUCUGCAUCUUUAAUGACGUUUGUUGCCAGGUGACGAGGACGUAGCUCCUGACACUUCUCUUGCACUGUCUGUCUGGGGGAUGGAUGCAGCUGACUCACUGGAAGCAUUUGGAUUCUCUAGGGCCUUGCUGCUUCUCUGCUUUGCUAGGUCUCUGUCUAGGAUGAAUUUCUCCUCACCAGUGGCCAGAAGUGCUGUGUGUUCUAUUUGACACCAGUCAGCACUACAGGAGACCUGGUUCUAGGUGGACACUUGAACAAGUUUCCUGUGAACCCAUCCCAUAGUCCCUAGCGUGCCACACAGGUGUACAUGAGUCCUGCUCAGUGCUUAGUGGGCAGCAGUGGACCCUAAACUUCCUGUCCACAGCUGUGUCCUGAGUCCUGGCUGCCUUGGCGACCCUCUGCUCUAGACUGUGUGCUCUGCUCAGGAGCUCUGCUAUAGUUUCCCAAAAUCUGUGGCCUUUGCCUGUCACCUCUUGGUGGCUACUGGCUGUCACUGUCAGUGUCUAGCGUCAUGUUAAUUCCUCUCCCUGCUCCAGCCUUCCUCUUGGCUGUGUAAGUCCAUGUUGACCAGAAGCAGAAAUUCUAAUAUCAAUUUAUAACAUUCCAUGUCCCCAUGCCCACCUGAUGUCUCCCCUGUAAGAUUUUCCCUGUACCUGCCACCUGGGAGGUGUCAGAUCUUUGGUUCUGUGAGCAGUCUUCAGCUUAUGGUAUAUUUUAAUGUUACCCAGAAACACACAGACAAUAGUACCCAACCCCGCCACAGAGGUUGUGUUUUUCUUCCAGAGAUAAGGAUUAAUUAACUUCCCUAAAAGGCCUAAGGACCAACUCUUGAAAGCUGGUAGCACCCUCAGAAUUCUGAUUUAAAUUAUUCAUGAGAUCUUUGCCACCAACAAGUCCAAAUUAAUGUCAAGCCUUGGCCUAGAACCCACGGCUAUAACAACAGUGGCCCAGAAGGAAAAAAAAAUCACAGAUCUGAGUGACUAGCUCUCGUGGGCUGCUAGGAUUGAUAAUGAGCAGUGUGGUCAUCUCCACCCUGGGCUUCUACUUGUGUAAUAGCAAAGACACAAAGGCUCAUAUGACAAGCUGCCCCUGUCACAGCCACAUGGCUUGGGUACCCUGGGCUCAGGGCUUUGCCUGCUAAGAACUCUGGACCAAGAGGACAGCGAGGAGGCGUCCUGCACGCAGUCCCUGCCGGCUUUCAAGGGUGACAGUAUGGCACCUUGUGAGGGACUUGGUGGCAACAUUUGCACAUGGAUUCUGCUUUAAAAAGUAUUUGUCUUAUCUGACCCACCACUCAGGUGAUUCCAAAGCAGGCCAUUAAGAAUAGAGAAACAAAACAUUAGAUCAAAAGAUCAAACUUUAAAGAACGCCCACAGGAUCAAAGCCUCUCUCAUCGCUGGCUGCAGGGAGUGUCUGGCAGCGGCAGAAAGUAUGUCUUUUGAGAAAUACCCUUUUCAAAGAAAAAUGAGAACCCACCCCUAAGGAAUGGCGCGGGGGGGGGGGAGUGGGGGAGGAAGGAGUGAUGGCAACAGCAAGCUUUGGGGUUCUUGUCCUGACAAGUCAAGGCGUGAAGGUCAGAUGCUCUGGUGUUCCAGGGAGCAUCCACUGGCUUAUAAGUGUGGUCAGACUCUUUCCUCACAUGUGCAGGGGCUGAGGUGACCACAGAUCUGACACGCUCCUCACUAAGACUGGCACAGCUGCCACUGUGGGUACCUGGGAGGAGCAGGCAGCACGUGCACAGUCCCAACUGGGCCUGGACCUUGUCCAAGGAUGAAUGCAAUGGCAGAGAGGGACGUCAGCCCAGAGGAAGGAGACUCUGCGCCAUUUCUUGGGACACUGUGUGGCAGGGACACCCUUGCUGGGCCACGUCGGCCCAACUUAGGAGCCUCCCAAAAGGGAAGGGGGGCUGGAGAUGUGCUCAUGCACCCCAGGUCUACCACAGCGGCUGGGCACCCCAGGUCUACCACAGCGGCUGGGCACCCCAGGUCUACUACAGUGGCUGGGCACCCCAGGUCUACCACAGUGGCUGGGCACCCCAGGUCUACCACAGUGGCUGGGCACCCCAGGUCUACCACAGUGGCUGGGCACCUCAGGUCUACCACAGCGGCUGGGCACCUCAGGUCUACCACAGCGGCUGGGCACCCCAGGUCUACCACAGCGGCUGGGCACCCCAGGUCUACCACAGCGGCUGGGCACCCCAGGUUUACCAUAGCAGCUGGCAUCAGGCAGUGGUUUCUAUCCUCUGACCAGGUUAGACCUUCGCAGUCUCGUGGUUGCUGGUGGGGCUGGGGGUACGCUAGGCUUGUAACUCCUUUUCCAGAGCCUGGGGGAGUUCAGUGAUUUAGUUCCCUUUGAAGGAAGCUCCUCACUUCAGAGCUGAUCUCUGGUGGCUGGUGCUUGCUUGGUCAUCUCAGGCCAGAGCUCUUGCUGUUGGGUCCGUCAUUUGGCUGAGGUGUGUGUGUGUGUGUGUGUGUGUGUGUGUGAGUGUGUGUGUCUGCUGGAGGAUGACAGACGCUGAUUGCAAGUGGCAGAGGCGGGAAAGGUUAAGGCACACUGGUCUGAGGCUGACCUCUGAGCUUAGCAGCUCUUCUUCUAAAUCAGACAGACAGAAACCUGAUACCAUAAAGUCAAAUCACACGUGGAAUCAGCCAGUGUGCAUAGAACCAAAGGCCAACAGGGCGGUUGCAAUGGCUGUCACAAAGGUCCCCUUCCUGCACAAAGUGAUCACAGAAAUAUAGAGAAUGAGAUCAACUCAACAAAGCAGAACAGCCAGAGAGCAGCCAUGACGGGGCUGUGCACACAACAGUCUUACUACUGACUGAAACUUGAGCGAUUGCCUUAAAGCUGGAAUCCUGUCAAAUCCUAGAAGUCUUGGGACCUUGGUUUGCCAGACAUUUUCAGAGAUAAAUGACUAACAAUGCCCUGUAGGCUAAUGAGGGUGUGUUACAGCUUGGGGACUCCUCCAGGCAUUAAUACCUGUACCCUUGUGUGACCCCGAGAGGUGGGUGAUCUUUGGGUCUCUUCUUUUCAGAAGUGGGGUGAGUUAGGAUGCAGAGUGAAGUCUCGUGGAUGAGGCUGGCAGCUCAGUGAGCUAGGCCUGGAUCUUUCGGUCUGUCCAGGCUUGAUACCAAGGCUACAAACCUGCUGUCAGCUACAGCAGGGCCCCCAGCGUCCAUCUAGGAGCAAACAGAGGAGGAGGCAGGGCACAGCAAAGGUCAAGAUAGGGAAGACAUUUCUUCAGAGCCCAGGAACACCCAAGGGUGCUGGCAUAGCCAUGGCUUAGGAGAAGGGAGGCCAGGGGCUGGGAACACAGGUGGAGUGGGGCUCAGGAAUGGGCCAGGGACAUGGCUUUCUGCUGACACUCAGGGCUCCUUCCUUCGACUCCAUGCUCCAGUACUCCCACGUGAAGACUCCUUCCGUCAACUCUCCAGCCUGCCUCUUGCUUUCUCUCCACAACACUUUCACACGACAGGGAUAACAGUGACAGGUGUCCAGGAGACAGGCAGCCUACCUCCCAGUGGACAUCUGCCAUCUCCCCACAAUUGCUCUUCACAAGGGCCACACCACACCUUCCUGGUGGUAGGAUGCUGUGCUGUGCACUGUGCUGCGGAGUGCUCACUGAGGCUGGCAGAGGGGAUGGUCCAGAAGGCUUUGAGACAUCCCCUCUUACAUCAGUAAUCCUGAGCCUAGGGUGCCUGGCAGCAACCGAUGGAGCUAAGAGGUGAAGAUGUCCAGGCGGGGCCUGACGGUUAGGAGGCCGAGGGCGUGCCCAGAGCAGGAGCAGGGGCCUGCAGAGGGCUCAGCUGGUGAACUGAUAUGAUAGCCUUGUUGGCAUGGAGGCCUAACUUUGACCCUGAGGAACCACAUAAAAGGGGGUGGGUAUGGUAGUUUGUGCCUGUAAUCCCUGCAUCGGGGAGGCAAAAGCAAGUGGAUACUGGGCGUGCUGUCCAGGCAGUCUAACCUAAGCAGCAAGCUCCAGGUUCAGUGAGAGAUCCUGUCUCAAAAGACAAGGUGGGUGGUGUCUAAGGAGGAUGAAUACGUAAGUUGUCUUAUGGUGUACACACACAUUCUCUCUCUCUCUCUCUCUCUCUCACACACACACACACACACACACACACAUGCACACACAUGCACACACAUGCUGAUAUGGGGACUGCUACCCAACAGGCAGGACCUGGGUUGCCUGAAGGCCAAGCAAGCACAGGAUUUAGGGGACCCCCCUUCUAACAAGCAGGAAUAAGUCAUUUCUGCUUAGUUUGGUAAAAGGAAGGAAAACAGAACUCGGGGCAGACAGAGGGAUCCGGUUUCCUGCUGGCUAGAGAACUGAGGUGUUGUGAGGGUUCAGCUUCCAUGGUUGUGCCCUUGGGGUAUGGACUUCAGCUGUGAACGGAGCUAGAUUGUUAUCUUUAUAUUGAUUUGUCUUGGUCCAAAAUUCAGAAACAAAAUCAGAUCAAAUAGGGCCUCCAAGGGGUGAAAUUUGGUUGUGUGACUUUGAUCUGCAAAGAGCAGGGCUUAGGCCAGGACCAAUGAAGGGCAGUCUCAGCUCUCCUCUCGCCCCUAGGGCAUGGAUGCUCUGGGCAUCUUAGCUCAUGUGAUGUUGGUAAGACAAAAUGCGGAGCAUAGGUGAGUUAUGGAGCACCAAGGCUUGUGUCUCUCAGCUCUGGAAUCUGGAAGUGCCAAGGCUGCAUGCAACAGCCCUUCCUGCUGUUACUCUCAGUGAAAGAUGGAAGGGGUGGAAGGAGAGAGAAGACUGAGAGGGAGGGAGAAGAAAAGGGAGGCAGGGAACACUUAUCUGUGUCCCAGGAGCCCUCUGUGAUAAAGCCCUUCCCAAGGGCAGACUCUUCAUGACCCAAACACCUCUCAAAGGAUCCGGCCCCUAACACUGCUGACUUGGGAAUGAAAUACCUCCUGAGCUCUGGGGACAAGGUCCAAGCCAGGAGAGCUAGUUUCAAUCACAGAGGAGCCUCACCUCCUCCUAAGAUGACGCUGUCAUUUUCUAGAGUCCAUGCAGGUGUGAGUGUACUUGUUAGUGCGCAGGUGAGUGUACAUGAGAGUGUACAUGUGAGUGCACAGGUGAAUGUAAAGGCGAGUGUACAUGUGAGUGCGCAGGUGAGUACACAGGUGAGUGCACAGAUAAGUGUACAGGUAACUGCGCAGGUGAGUGCACAGGUGAGUGAACAGGUGAGUGCACAGGUGAGUGUACAUGUGAGUGUUCAUGUGAGUGUACAAGUGAGUGCACAGGUGAGCGCACAGGUGAAUGUACAGGCGGGUGCACAGUUGUGUGUACAUGUGAGCACACAGGUGAGCAUACAUGUGAGUGAGUGACAGUCAUUCCAGUCACUUAAGGGGAAGUCACAUUUAGUCACCCAUGUUUACUUCUGUGUUCCUCCUUACUUACCAAGGUUACACACAGGGUCCUGUGAGGACAGGGCGCAUGGAGUCUGUUUUCUUAGGCUUGGCUGGGAAGUUUUUUGGACCUUGAUCCCAUGAGUCUGCGUAAGUACUAUCAGAGGCUUAAAUGUCUAGGAGUUACUUUCAAGCUGCCAGUGUCUGAGGCAGGUGAGAGAUGACUUACGGAGAACACAGAGACUUCUUUGAGGAGAAGAAAACUGUUAAAUUUCAGUGUGAGUCUGGUGUCCAUUCAGCAGUCAGUGGACCUGGCUCUGGCUUUACCGUCCUUUCCAACACCAUUCUGUCCAAGCAAUUCUCUCCACACAGCUCGCCCCAGGGAAGGUAAACACCAGAGGGGUGUGUGCUGAGGCCUCGGGAAAAGGCCUCAAUAUGUCUCGGAGAACCCUCAUAGGCACCUACAACUAACAGGCCAGGCAGGUACGUACCCUCCAGUGCCUCCAGGCCCUCUGUGCUAGACAAUAUGCCCACUGUCUCCACCAAUCUGACAUGGAAGACCUACUUCCUGUUGAUAAUGUAGAGUAACUACUACACGGCCCUCAGAAUUCUGUAGGAGCCUCCAUUCCCAGACUCCUGAUGGGCCCAGCAGGAAAAAAGUGUGUCCAGUGCACUUGUGGAACAUCUUGGCCUUCUUUGAGGCCAUUAUUUGAAUGGUCAAGGUGCCCAGUAGCAUAGAUUGGUUGAAGACAGUGAGUUACAGAGUCCCACUGUGCUCUGGUUCCCACACCGGGUUCCCCAUGUGACUGCGGCUGUGCAGUUAUCUCUGCAACAGUGCUGGGGGUUGGGCAGUGAGCGCAGCUGUCCACUCCUGGGCCAUCCCAUCUGCUUUCCUACUCAGAACCUUGCAGAUGGCCUAUUGGUUUUGUUGGUGCUGCUACUGUGACAUCAUAAGCUACAUACCCAACAAACAUAUCCCUAACUUGAGAUUAACUUGUCAUUAGUGAACUCAUUAAUUACAGCCAGUGCUUGCCAGGCUCGCUGGUUCAGGUAUUCGUUGAGGAGACACAGGACACAAUGGGACUAAGGGCAACUCUACAUGCUUCAAAUUCUCACGUAGAUUUCACAGUCAUUUGGACUCAACAUCUCUCUACAAUCAUAAUAAACAAAGCCAAAACCUCCCCACCCCGCUGAGAAGUUCCUCCUCCUGAAGGCACCUACCUCCAUGAUGCCAGAACACGUACAUCUUAUGCUGCAAAGGUGGAGGCUGCGUUCUACAGUGAGAGCCUAGAGUCCCCUCUGACACUCUGUCUGCUCUCAGAUGCCACAGAGAGUAGCACAGGAGGAAUCUUGGGGGCAUUGCCACCUAACUUCCCACUACAUGGGGAACUCACAGCUCGGUACUGACUGGAGCAGAGGAGACACAGGGAGCUGAGGUUACUAGGGAGUGGAAUGGGACUCUGCAUCUCCUCAUUACACCUCUGGGUUGCUAAGGUGUGAUUAUAUAAGAUGAGGGCAGCUGCCUCCUGAAGGCUCGUGGUGCAGACAUGUUCAGGAGGGCAUUGUCCUUGACAGGGAGGAAAACAAGACAGAGGGUGAAUCACUUCAACCCAGCUAUGAAGUCAAGGGCUGGGAGCAGGCACUCACAGGCUGGUUGCAAAGUGUGCUGGCUACUCGGGGUCUAGUGCCUCUCCAAAUAUGUUUGAUGAUGAGUCUGUCAACAACUGCAGAAUAGCUUGCCGGGACCUUUGCUGCAAUUGCUUUGACUCUGAAAAGCUGCUACAUCCGCUCUGGGAUGGUGGGGCUCUAAGGGGCUGAGGUCAUUUGAACACUGACUAGAGUGUGGGGGAUCAGGAACUGUGGUCCCUGUUGCUAGGGAUGAAGAAAUGAGUACUUGCUUGCGAAGAUUCUUAAGAGAGUUUGUUAUAGCCCAUGACAGUGCUUCCCUAUGUGCUCCAGGGACCACACUCCUGGGUGAUCACCAAGAAGAGCAGAAAUGUACGUUUGCACAGAAGCCUCCUCAGGGUGCUUACAGAAAAUUGCUAAAAUUUGGAAGCAACCAAACCCAGCACCUUCCUGAAGGCAGAGGGGUGAAUAAUGGGUAGUCCAUCCAGAGUACGGAAUACUGUUCUGUGCCCACAGGGGUGAGUCGCCAAGCAGUGGCAGGACACAAGGGAAAUGUCAUUGCAAUGUGAUGAGUGAUCGGAACCAACCCAGAAGGCUUUCAACACUAACUCUGCCACUGUAGAGAACAAAGAAGCAUGCACGGGGCAGUGAAAAUGAUCAUUGGCUGGUCGGGUCUAUGGAACGAGAAAGGGACAGUACGGUACAGAUGGACAGAUGUCUGGGAUAGUGUGAUGCUCUGAGCUCCACCCACUUGUGUGUGACAUUGCACAAUUGCACAUUUGUCCAAACCUACAGGACGCCCCAUGGUAAGUGUGAACCCCAGUGUGAAUUACAAACAGCAUGGUGCUAGUCGGGUUCAUCAGCUGUGGAGAAUGGAUAAUUACAGGCCGGAGAAAGUCUCCAAGACGUUCACAGCUGGACGCCUGGACUCCAGCGGUGACCAAGAAGGGAUGUUCUCCCAGAGUGGGAGGCUACAUAUGGGUGGGCACUGAGAAAUCUCAGCACUUUCCCUUUAAUGUUGCCGUGAAUAUAAAGUGGAUCUAAAAAUAGACUCUAAUAAAAACAGAAGAGGAUCCGCAUGACUUAGUGUGAAAGAAAGGAGCCUCGAGGGGGGCAGACAGCAGUCUGGGCACAGGAGCUGCAGGAGCUCUCAGCCAGGGUGUCUGUCCCAAGGGUGGGCAGGGUUAGCAUCAGCCUGGUGGACACUCAGAGCACAGACCCCAGACCCGCAGAAGCUGAGAGGAAGGGAGCUCUGUCUUCCCGGCAGGAAGACUGCCUACCACACAGGGGUCAGGCAGAAGGUUGCUCGCUAUAAGUGCUAGUGAAUGCAUGUGUGCCUGCAUACUGUUGUGUGCGAUUAGAUGUGUAUGUGCAUAUGUGAUUGUAUGUGUAUGUGGGUGUAUGACUGUGUUAUGUAUAUGUGAGAGACCAUGUGCUUGACUGUGUGUGUGAGACCAUCUGUGUGCGCACAUGUAUGUGUGACUGUGUUUUCAAGCGUGUGCCUGAACAUGUGCAUGUGUGAUUCCAGAUGCACCAGGGGCCUUUGGAAGGGAUAGAAGGAGAUGUACAAGUGAGUAGGGCCUCCACUCCAGGCAGAGGGGUUCUCAGAUGACUCAGGGCCAGUGGAGGCAGCUAAGGCUCCCAGGAGGUGGUAUAGGAGACAAGGAUAGACCACCCAGGCCUUAGGUGAGGAAACACUAGACUAAGAAUAAACAAUGGAUAGAUGAAGAAGUGGGUAAGGGUAAGCAAAAGUCAGAGAGAGGCUGGGAGGGAGUGACCACAGAAGGCAAAAGAGGACAGAGGGUGCCUGUGCUAGAGAGAACCCACAUGCAGAGAUGAUACUGCUUUGCAAAGGCCAUUGUGCCUUGGCCUUCUGUUCAGGUGGCCUGGGCCAGCAAGGGGCUAUACUGUGUCUCAUGUUUUGGGUUUCUGCCUGAGCUAUAGCGGCUGGACCUUGAAGCCACAGGGGCAAGAAGUUAAGUCCAGACAUUAAUCUAUGUCUGUAACUUACAGCUUAAUGUAUACUUAGACUAAGGGCUAUAGAACCACCUGAAGGAGAGCAACACUUAGCAGUAAAUACACUUCACAGCUCUCUACCAAAAGCCCUUAGUGUCUGUAUGCAAGUGACCAUACCUAAGUGACCCUUCAUCUUGUGGCCUAGUGAUGGACAUUCACAGUCACUGCACAGUCUGGUGAGGCCCCGGCAUCCCAGGACACACAAGAGAUCACUACACAAAAGCUUGGACAGAUGGGACCGGGGAGACAUCUCAGGAGCUAAGGAGCUUCCUGCACAAGAUGAGGACCUGACUUUGAGUCCCCAGAGCCCAUGUAAAAGCCAGAUAUGGUGACAUGGUGUGUCUCUAAUCCCAAGACAGAGCUCCUAUGGUGAGAAAAGACAUGCAGGCAGGAGGAUCCCUAGAAACUUUCAGGUCAGCUAGCCUGUGGCAAACACAGUGGAAGAUGAGAACCUGAGGUUCUCCUCUGACCUCCAUGCACAUGAUACACACGAGUGCACGCAUGCGCGCACACACACAUAUGCACACAGACACACACACACACACACACACUGUAAUAAGAGCACUGUGGACAGGAUUUGUGGCUGAGACCAAGUCAAGCCUUUCAGUUGACAAGGGACCAUUUUCCUUUAUGCAUGAUAACUAAAGCUCAACUGUGUCUCAUGUUUUGGAUUUCUGCCUGAGCUAUAGCAGCUGGACCUCGAAGCCACAGGGGCAAGAAGUUAAGUCCAGAUGGCACAUGUCAAACAUGGCUGUCUGUCCAGCUGAGCUCCUCAGACAUGGAUUCACCCAAGACUUCAUAGUCCUGGACGGAGCAGGACAAGGUUCAAAGGGUUGGGGAAGACUUGCAUUUCAUGCAACAAGAAAAGGUCUGAUUUCGGGGUCAUCUAUUUCCUGAGGGCCAUGCCUGCUGCCUGCUGCCUGUUGCCUUCAUUAGUGAGGGCAGAGCCCAGCAGAUGGGAAGCAGUUGGUAUGCUGAGGGCAGAUCUGCCUGUGGGAAGAAUGUUAGACUAACGUAACCGGACAGCAUUGUAUUUCUUUCAUUUUAAAUGAAACCCUGUUCAAUCUUUCCAGAUUAGGGGGAAAUGUGCAUUUGGGUACAAUGACAUAAUAGCAGUAGCCAGAAUGUUUCUAGAGCCCACGGACCCUCUAAUUAGCGCUAAGCUGCACACCAUGAGUAGAUAGGACUUGAACUGUGUAGGGAGCUGAAAAGAUUUCACACCAUCCUGGUUUAUUUAAAUUUCAGCCGGGUGGUAGCUGUGCGAUGAGCUGGGAAUCAUCGCUGCUUCCCAUGGAAACGAUCUCUGGUGAGCCGUGAGUCCAUGCGUUUACUUUAAGUGAGGCAAUCGAAGCUUCUCGACUUAAAAACCCAGCCAGUACAAAGAAAUUAGAGAAAAAGUCUCACCAUGGACUCAAGGCAGGGGGUGAGGGGUGGGGACCACCAUUCAAUGACCUUGCCAGAUGAGCCAGUUGCUGUGAGGUGCUGAUGCUAACAAGGACAAGGCCUGCCCACAAAAAAAGAAGUCUAUUUGAAUCCAUUAUGUCCUUUGCGCUUAAUUCUGCAGGAUUGGCCCUGGUUGCUGGCAGUAAAACUUAGUUUACAUUUCUCAAAUGCAUUUGUCCUCUUGAUUUCCAAACAUUUCUGUGAUUUUCUUUCUUUCUUUCUUUCUUUCUUUCUUUCUUUCUUUCUUUCUUUCUUUCUUUCUUUCUUUCUUUCCCUCUCUCUCUCUCUCUCUCUCUCUCUCUCUCUCUCUCUCUCUCUUUUCUUUUUGAAACCUCUGGCAACAGAUAAGCUGAGCACAGCCCCCUGCCCCACAGAAAGUCAGUAAAAAACUACGGAACUGAAGGAAUUCAGCAAGGAAACAGAUUUCUGAAUAUCAAACACCAAGGUUGGAAAUGAAAGCUUCAGACAAUGAGAUAAAAGUUACGGAGAUGGCGUAGCCAGGCACCAAAGAGAAGCAUCAGAGGGAUGGAAGUCGAGGUGCUGAAGCUUUGCACUUGAAAACCAACAAGAAAUUAUGUAGGCACAGCCACAAUGCCCCCCCAAACUCCGGGAUACAGUCCAGAGAACCUGCAGAAUCCAUGGGGCAGAAGAAGGAGCACAGAAUGUGAAAACUAGUGAAACUGUGGACACACAAUUUCCCAGGUUGAGAGAAAGUCAGACACUCAAACUCCAGGGGCAUCUAGAACAGACAUGACGCAAGAGACAUUUCUCCACAGCACAAAUACAAGAAACAAUGCCCAACACUGUAAGCGGGAAACCUCAACUCAUCUAACGGUCAGAAAUGGCAGAAUAGCAGUCGAUCCCUAAAAGCGAGCAGAGCGUGCGUGGAUGCAUCUCAAGCCUUGAAAAUAAAUAAAAUAAAGCCAAGACUGCUGUGCCCAGCAAACUAUCUUCAAAAACAGAAGGAGGGAUAAGGACCUUUCAUGACAAGCACAGACCAAGACAGGUCAUGACCACUGACCCAGCCCUGCAGAAGACAUCUGUUUGCCUCUGUUGGUGUGAUAAAAACCAAACCAAACCAAUACAAAAACCCACUCUGACCCAAAGCAACUUAGGGGAUAAAGGGAUUUAUCUGUUUUAUACUUUCAGGUCACAGUCCAUCAUGGAGGGAGUCAGGGCAGGAACUCACUCAGGAGCUUGAAGCAGAAACCAUGGAGGAACUUGCUGGCUUGCUAGCUUGCUGGCUUGCUGGCUGGCUGGCUGGCUGGCUGGCUGGCUGGCUGGCUGGCUGGCUGGCUGGCUGGCUUUGCUCUCAAGCCCAUGCUUAGCGAGCUUCCUUAGAGGAUGAUGCUGCCCACAGUGGGCUGGGCCCUCUUGAAUUAAUUAAUAUUCAAAACAAACCCCACAGACAUACCCUCAGGCCAGUCUGAUCUGGGCAAUCCCUUGAUGAAACCCUCCGCAGGGAACUCCAGCUAAGUCAAGUUGACAAUUGUAGCUAACCAGGAUAGAAAACAGCUGCUUUGUGGAUUUUUUAAGGUUAGUAUGCUGUAAUGACCCACUGUAGUAGCUACCUGCAAAGUUCAUGAAUAUUUGGAGUAGUGUUGGGUUUUGGCUCUCAUUUAUUUUCUCCCCAACUAUUCUUCCAAAAGUUCAGACUCCAAGCUGCAAACAGCACGGAUGAAAGCGAUCACCCAAUCUUUAAAUGAAAGAAGGCAGUGUAAAGUUUUGAUUCCAGUAAAGAACUUAGACUGAGCAUCUGCUGGGGGAUUAGGGAAAAUUUAAUCAUUUUGUGGUCCUUGUUAGAGAGCAUCUGCCUAUGGGUCUAUGCACAUCAAAUUUUAAAUAAACAAGCCUAAAUGUUUUAAAAAAACAAAAAAACUCAAUAAGCUAUGCCUAACUAACUCAAUGCAGAGGAUUUUUUUAAAAUAUUUAAAAAGUGAGUGAGUUUUUCGUAAAAACAGAAUAUGCUGAAAGAACCCACAACUAAGACUAGAAGAUACAGCUCUGCAUUUAUGUCAGAACAUAACCAACAUCAUAUUCAAAUGGGACAAGGCUCCAAAUGCCCAAAUACCAAAGAGCGAGUAGUAUUUUUAAGUCAUUAUCUACAUUUUUAAAAAUACAGCUUUGCUGUUAGUAAGCUUGCUCUUCAAUGAUUUUGACAAAUUUCUCAGAGCUCAAAAAUCUGCCUUAUUUUUAAUAACAUUUAAAGGGCUUCCAGCUCAUGAGCUGAUCAGGGAUAUUGUAGUCUGCCUAAAUUAAGAUUAAAUCAUUGAAAGAGUCGGUGUGAGAAGUAAGACUCCAGGGAGGAUAUUAACAAUUUAGCAUUUCCAGCUUGUGCGGGAGUGCUAAUUCCACUUUCCAGAGAAACAAGAGAAGUGGUGUUCAUUCAAAUUAAGAUCUUGUGGCCGCAGCCGUGCAUGUGACAUCUGCACAGGCAUGCCAGGAAUAACAGGCGAACCUCCCCAAGGACCCAGCGAGGUUCCUCUGUCUGUCUCCACACAGGAAAAUACAGACAGCUAACUGUCAAUUAUGCACAGUGGACGUGGGCUUCGGCAUGACUGUCGGCAGGGUCCUCUGAGAUGAGGGGCUUCCUGGAGCGGUGUGUGUGUGUGUGUGUGUGUGUGUGUGUGUGUGUGUGUGUGUGUGUGACAUGCAUAGCUUGAGGAUCUCGCUGCACAUUCUCUCUCUGCAUGGCAGUCUCCUUCUGAUGCUCCAGGCCUUAAGGAAUACAGGGAGCCAGUCCUGGGAAUACACCUGUGCGUCAGCCUCAGCUAUGUGAGGACAAGCCGAGAAGACUGACUGGGAUUGAAAUUGGGAGCUGCAAGAUAUAGAGAUGGGAGAUGCUCAAGGCUCCCCAAGACUCCUCACAACAUGAAGAGGAAAUGCAUUGCAGACCAAGUUCAGACAGGUGGCAAGAGCCUCCUUCCUCUGCCCAGCCCGUGCUGAGGAUGGUGGCGUGGCUCUCACAGCCCUCGCCCUGUUCACUCUCAAAGCAUCGGUGCAUUAUGGAUGAGGCAAACUAGCAAGGCCAGAAGUUAACUAGCAAGGCCAGAAGUUCCCACCUCUCCCUCACGCCUUCUCAGGCAAGGACAGCACUUUGAAUGGACCACAGUGUCUUUCCACCAUUCCUGAGCUGAAACACUCAGACUCUGUGCCGGGGAAGGGGCAGCUCCUGAGAACAGAAACUGCAAGCCAGGCGUGCUAGUUUAUGCCUGUAAUAUCUGAGGCAGGAAGAGUCACCUAUGAGCAGGGCCAGUCUGAGAGAUGUAGCUCCCCAGACCUCACUUUUAAAAAGAAUACAAACCCCAGAGGGAUGUCCAUCACUUGCAACAGUCUUAGGCUGAAGACAGAGAAGGCUCUCCAGACAAGACAAAACCAUAGCUCAAGCUCCUUACCAACAAGAACUAAAGAAAUAGCUUAGGGGGUCAUUCUUACAGCACAGGGAGCCUGUCAGGUUAUCAGGGCUUAGGGAGGACGCCUUAGAGGCCGGGCCCUUGCCUAGCAAUCGUUAGGCUAGUUUCCAAACUGUCCAGCGGCCCAAUCACUGGUGUGUGCCCAAGUAAAUGAAGCACACACAGAGACAUUGAGGGCUUAUUUACAACAGCACCAAUGAUGAGCAGGCUGUGGGUCGGGCUCCUGGGCUGAUGCAGCUGCGGUCAAGUGCCCUGGCCCGUGUGCUCAGUGUUAGCUCACCGAUCUCACCGAUCUCCUCCCGCUGCCAAUGGCACUGUAUUGACCUUACAGCUAAUGGGUCCAGCCGACACUGCUGUGCCAGGAGGAAGGUGAAUUAUUAAUGAGUUAAAAGGCAGACAUAGCUCUUCACUUUCCAAUACCCUUCUCUUGAGAAAACCCUAAGGGGGUUAGUGCAGGGGAGAAAAAAGAUAACACACAGAGAAAAUGACUUUUUAAGUGCUUCCCUCCCAUGGUGUUGCACGACAGACGGUAACAGGUGGGCCCUUUUCUCUGGUAUAAAUGGCUUACAUUUCUCUUCCUAAGUCCAGCUCCCACACUUCAGUGUCCUAUUGCUUUGAACCAAGCACUCAAAUUAGCCUUUAGGAACUGUAUUUUUAAAUAAAAACAGGGAGCUGGUUUUGGCUUUAAUUCAGGAGAAGUCUUAUCGGGAUUUUUGGAAGAAAUGUCUCAGUGGAGUUUUGUGUUUGGCCACAGAGCAUCUCUGGAGUUAGAAUACAAUGUGGCUAUCUAGGGCCUUUGGCCAAGGGAAAUCUCGAGGGCUGGGGCCGGUUACAGGGGUCACUCCUGAGGGACAGGAAGAGGCAAUCACACUUCCUGAGGUCAUCUCCAGUGAACAGCUGGGGCACUGCAGCCCACCAUGGCUGGCUGAGCAAACGAACUGGGCUUUCAAUGCUGAGAUCCGAAUGGUGAUGUUCCCACAACAUGGAGAAGACUCAUACCCAGUGUUCAAGGACCACUAAUCCAGAUUUUUAAAGUGCUGUGCUGUGGUGAUGGCAGUACUGCGAGUUACACCAGGGUGGAUUCUGAGGAAGAAAGUCUGAACGGUUCCGAGCGACAACAACAGGUUGUAGAAAUGAAGGCUGGAGCUGAAGUCAGCACGGACUUAUGGAGUGCGUUUGCAGGCUCCAUUCUUCUACUGCCUAUGUAGCACCUCUGGGAGUGUGCCACCACAGAUGAGUGGAAGACAGACCUGGGCCUGCAGUCCCUGCUGGCUUUAGGCACAUGGUCGAAGCAAGACACCACUGUCUCUGUCUGUCUAAGGGAGGGCCGCUAUGCCCCCACACUGUCUCUUUCUGUCUGGGGAGAGCACUAUGCCCCCACAGUGUCUCUGUCUGUCUGGAGGGGCACUAUGCCCCCACACUGUCUCUGUCUGUCUGGGGGGUGCUAUGCCCCCCACACUGUCUCCGUCUGUCUAAGGGGAGGGCCACUUUGCCCUCACACUGUCUCCAUCUGUCUAGGGGAGGGCUGGUAUGCCCCCAUACUGUCUCUGUCUAAGGAGAGAGUUACUAUGCCCCCACAUUCAUUUACUAGCAUCUGACCUCAUGGUUCUUAUCUGCCACCCUCCUAGAUGCUGUGCAUUACGUCAAGUAAUACAAGAACCACAUGAGCUGUCUAUGUUGUCAUUAGAGACAGGGUCUCUCAUAGCCUAGACUGGCUCCAGAUUCAAAUUUCAGUGUAUAUGUGUAAGGGAUUCUUAAAAAUAAAGAAAACCUAACAACCACCACCACCACCACCAAAACAACCCAACUGGCCUGGGUGUAGCCACACACCUGUGACCCAGAACUGUGGAGAAGGGACAAGAACAUCACUGGGGCUUUCUGGCCACCAGUCUAGUUCUGGGUUCAGCAAAAGACCCUCUCUUCAUAGAAUAAGACAGAGAAUGAUAGAGUAGACUCAGGCCUCCAGAUACAUACCCACGAGCACACGUGCACACAGAUGCACACACAGGGGUGGGGUGGGCAGAUUUCUCAGAAAGAUUAAGGGAAUGUACUUGAAGCAUGUAUUUGGCUCCUGAGCCCUCACUGAGGGAAGCCAUCAUUGUGACAUCAUCUAGGGAGCCCUGUGGUUUCCUACAGAAAUACCUAGGACCACCACCGUGAACAUGGCCACUCAUGGCUGUCAACUGUCAGGUCACACACUUUCGUUUCUUUCCAGAGAUACUGUCUCACUAUGUAGCCAGGCUAGUUUUGGAUUCACAAUUCUUUCACCUGCACCUCCCAAGUACCUUGACUGCAGGUGCGUGUCACUGUGGCCCCCUGGAGCCUGGUCUGCUUGCAUUUCCUCUCCAGAGUCUAUGGAGCGAAGGAACUGCGAGCUUGCCUUGUCCAGAGCCUGGGCCAGGCACUGAGAACAAGUCUGGCUGCUUCGCCGACCCUGGACACGAGUCCUCAGCUGGGAAUAUCCUCCUGAAGUGACCCUGGAGAUGCCCUCCUUGAAGUAAGGUUCAGGCUGCCCAGGGACAAGUCUUCAGACUGAACAAAUCCAUGCAGGUAUGUAUUGCUGCUACUUCUAAAGCCUGGAAAUUAAUCGCCAGGUCUUCUUGGUUCUUACUUUUCUCUUUCUCUCUUACAACAACCCCCCAGAAAGAUGGUUUCUCCCCAGAUCUUGGCUGUUCACUAACCACUUCAUGGUGUUUCUAGAAAGAAGAAGGUGUUAAUUAGGGUGUAGUGCCCCCGAAACAACAGAUAGUUCUUGGAACACUCGGUGCUGCUGGAAGCUCAACAAGAAUGUGAGAAGACCCCAGGGUUUAAAAUCUCCACUCAGCUCUGUCUUAGGCCCACAGCACUCAGUGAGGCUGGACUGGUACUGCGGGUACCAGUCUUCCAUGAAACACUUUGUUCAAUAUCACCAGGCCAUGAUUAGAACUUCUUGUCACACAAAUGGCUGGCUGCCUGGACUGCACAGGGAGGAAAAGCCCCCAGCUCUGUUCUAGACCAAGGAGUUAGAAUCUCCCACGGGACCAAAAAUCUGCUCUUCUACAAAGCUCUCUGAAGCCUCGGUAGGCUCGCAAAGCUCUCUGUGGUACCCAAGAACUUACAAAAGUCCCCAUAGUCCCCAGGGACUUAUAAAGCCUCCCUUUGGUCCCUGUGAACUCACAAAGCUCCUCUUGGUCCUGUGGGCUCACAAAGUUUCCUGUGGUCCAUGUGAGCACCAGGGCUUCGGAGCCACGGGCACAGAAAUGAUACUUGGUCAAGUGGUCAAGCAUAUGGAGUACACUUUGCCACACACAUCUCAGAAAUAUUAAGGAUGUAUUGCUAACAACUGCUUCCCUCAAAUUAGGCAAGGCCAAGUACAGUUGAGAGUCGAGGAUUUGCAUGCCAGACCUGAGGUGAAAACAAAGUAUGGUCGGGGCUAGCCUGUGGUUGGGGCUAGCCUGUGACAGGGUUCAGGGAGACUGAUCAGCCAGGCCCUAAAAUAGAAACUAAACACCCAAGGUUGAGAUCUUUCCAGAGACUGAAGGAUAUGCUGUGGGUAAAGCAAACAGACACAUUCAUCAUCAAGAUGAUACCCGCCAUCUUUGGGUUGAGGCAUUGAUAUCUGUAACACAGAAGUGUGCCUGCUAGUCAGCCAGGAGCAACUAAAAAGCAACAGAGGGAGGGCAAGAGAUGCAGAGGUAACUCCAGAGCCACACAGCAGCUUACAGAGAAGGCAAGUUACAUUGACUCUGUUAUUUGCAUCCAUCACAGCGAUACAAAUGCUUGCUGGUGAUGGGCCUAAGACCCUCUAGAGCCACAGUAGAGAAUUUAACCUGGCAGAAGUGCUCAGCAAAACAAUCUGACAGGAACUGGAGGACCCGCAUCCCUGCCCCGAGGCCACACAAGCCUGCGCAUGGAUUUCUAGAGACAGAGAUGGCUGAGGCACGUAGCAACAGGGGCAGAGUGCCAAAGUGCAAUGCUUGGUAGAACAAAGUUAAAAAAAGACAAGGUUUCAACAAGUUAAACUACAAACAGGACGUAUAGAAAAGCUGUGCUCUCUCUCUGGAGUCUACACAAGAAGACACGUGUGACAGCGGCAUGCAUAUCUUCUAAACUCCACUCACAUGGUAAUAUGUAUGGAUGCAUGUUUACACAUUUGAGCCUGUGCACAUCAGAGAGUAGACAACAUACAUUAAACACACUAGCAUGGGAAGCGAUCUUGAAAAGAGACUAGCAGAACAGCCAAGCUGCAAAGCACAGGAGCAAGGUUGGUCUCUCUAAAGAAAGAAAUUUACAUGCAGCUCAAGGCAAAAGAGUAUUUUCUAAUUAAAAGCAAAUUUCUGACUACAUGCCAGUGGUCUCAGCACUACCCAGCUAUCCUAUAGUAUCUAUACCUGUCGUACUCUCUAUCACUGUAGUCUAUGCUCAGCAGCUACGACAGGCUGUAAACACAUCUGAGCAUUCACUGGUUCUUCCCAGCCCCUUGUGCGUGCCACUCCCAUGGGCAUCUGUACCCAGGGUUGAGGGUAGAGGAGGUAGGAGGAGGCUACAGAGAGGAGGGCAGAGCCAAUAGCAAGUGACCUCACAAUUACUGCCGUUUGAAAGAACCGUGGAAUGGAGAGACUUUUAGGACGGGAAAAGAGAAAAGUAGAAGGCAUGGUUUUGAAAUAUUUCCUGUGUGAGAAGAAUAGUAGAAUCAUUGUCUGGGUUCACAGAACAGGGAUUCGGCCGAGCUGCCCCCGGAUCCGGCAGCAUCAUCACGGGUUGCUCUGAGGAACGGCUGUCACUGCAGUGUGAGCCCAGACACAGGCUUCCCACAGCACAGCUGCUUCAGCUGGGACCUCAGCUCUCGAAGCCAGUCCUUCCUCUCCCUCUAAUUCAACAAGAAGGCUCUGGGACUCUGCUGAACUCAAGAGUAUACAAGGGACUGAAAAGAUGUAGGCCUUGAAGAGAAUGCCCCAGCAGCGGACAUUAGUCAGUGUCUGCAGAGUAAGGAAGCUGAAUCCCCCGAGAGGGCUGUUGAACACCUGCUUCCUCGAGUUUGGACUUUUCCAGAUUCAGUGCGAUUAUGGAGUGUCUGCUCUGUGCACAAGGCUGAGAUACUGCACAGGGUCUGCAGGCUCACUCCCCGGAGCUGCAGAAAGUGACUGAGCCCUGUUUUGAUAGUCAGGGGGAAGGUCAGUAAAAAGCAACAGUCCAGUCCUAACACAAGGACAGAGGACCUCUGCAGGUAGAGGGGAAACGGACCGAUCAGGGAGCGGCUGACAGAACAGGGCUGACUCAGCUCUGAGGGAGGUGGCUGCUCUCUGUGCCUCUGCUGACAAGUGGUUUUCUCUCCCUCCAUUUCAUACAGGCAUUUUGUACACUGUGGUCCCUGGGAGAAUCUCAUUUGGCUUUCUUGCUUCCACCCAGCAUCUGUCAGUGGUUGAGGGGGAAUGAUGCACUCAGAUGUCUCCUCAGAAAAGCGCUAUUACCUCUGAAACCUUUGGUGCCUGCAACGUACCUAGCCCCACAGCAUCAUAUUCAGCAGCAGAGACCUGGGCUGGGGCAGGGAGGCCCAUUCCAUCCAAGGAAACACCUCUAGGGUCAUUAGGCACAGCCUACCAUCAUCUGAUGGUUGAAAAGAUGUGUUUUUUCAUUCAGCCCAGCUUGACCUCAUACAUUCGGGGUCCAGAAAUGACAAAACAGGAGGGAUGAGACCAUUCCCUGGAAUUCCCAAGGGGAAGCUGUCCUCUCCUAGCUAAUGAUGAUGCCAAUCUGGUCACUCAGAGAAACGAGGCCUCAAAAGUAAGCUUGAAGCUGGGGUGUCACAGGAAGCCUGAGGAACCAAGGUGAGCCACGAGUAAGCUUACAGGAGAUACCCCCCCCCCCCCCGCCCAGUGCCCAAACAUCAACUCUUCAAAGGCAAGCUAAGCUCUAAUAUAAACUGGAAUGGGGGUCAUCGGAUAAGUGUAAGCUGUGCAACUCUGACAGCCUGCCCACCUCCCCCCAGUCCAUGGUGGGAGGCAGAACACCUGUGACAUCUGCAUGUGUGUCAUAGCAUGUGUGCACCUGUGCACAUGUGUGUGCAGACACAGUAAUAAAAACAAAGAGGAAUUUAUUAAAGUGAAAAGGAAGAGGA